GAUGAACGCUGGCGGCGUGCCUAAUACAUGCAAGUCGAGCGAACAGACGAGGAGCUUGCUCCUCUGACGUUAGCGGCGGACGGGUGAGUAACACGUGGAUAACCUACCUAUAAGACUGGGAUAACUUCGGGAAACCGGAGCUAAUACCGGAUAAUAUAUUGAACCGCAUGGUUCAAUAGUGAAAGACGGUUUUGCUGUCACUUAUAGAUGGAUCCGCGCCGCAUUAGCUAGUUGGUAGGGUAACGGCUUACCGAGGCAACGAUGCGUAGCCGACCUGAGAGGGUGAUCGGCCACACUGGAACUGAGACACGGUCCAGACUCCUACGGGAGGCAGCAGUAGGGAAUCUUCCGCAAUGGGCGAAAGCCUGACGGAGCAACGCCGCGUGAGUGAUGAAGGUCUUCGGAUCGUAAAACUCUGUUAUUAGGGAAGAACAAAUGUGUAAGUAAAUAUGCACGUCUUGACGGUACCUAAUCAGAAAGCCACGGCUAACUACGUG
rnacentral:rRNA from 1 species